UACGUAGGGGGCAAGCAUUGUCCGGAUUUACUGGGCGUAAAGAGCGCGCAGGCGGUCGUACAAGUCGCGUGUGAAAGCCCCCGGCUCAACUGGGGAGGGUCACGCGAUACUGUUCGACUCGAAGGCAGGAGAGGGAAGCAGAAUUCCCCGGUGUAGUGGUGAAAUGCGUAGAUAUCGGGAGGAAUACCAGUGGCGAAGGCGGCUUCCUGGCCUGUUCUUGACGCUGAGGCGCGAAAGCUAGGGUAGCAAACGGG
rnacentral:rRNA from 1 species